CGUGGAGACAGGUGGUGCAUGGCUGUCGUCAGCUCGUGUCGUGAGAUGUUGGGUUAAGUCCCGCAACGAGCGCAACCCUCACCCCUAGUUGCCACCGGGUUAAGCCGAGCACUCAAGGGGAACUGCCAGCGUCAAGCUGGAGGAAGGCGGGGAUGACGUCAAGUCAUCAUGCCCCUUACGCCCUGGGCUACACACGUGCUACAAUGGCCAGUACAAAGGGACGCGAGACUGCGAAGUGGAGCUAAUCCCGAAAAGCUGGUCUAAGUUCAGAUUGCAGUCUGCAACUCGACUGUAUGAAGGAGGAAUCGCUAGUAAUCGCGUAUCAGCCCGGCGCGGUGAAUACGUUCCCGGGCCUUGUGCACACCGCCCGUCACACCACGAAAGCUGUCUGUACUCGAAGUCGCUGAG
rnacentral:rRNA from 1 species